UACGUAGGUGGCAAGCGUUUGUCCGGAUUUAUUGGGUUUAAAGGGUGCGUAGGCGGUUCUAUAAGUCAGUGGUGAAAUCCGGCAGCUCAACUGUCGAUGUGCCAUUGAUACUGCAGAACUUGAGUACAGACGAGGUAGGCGGAAUUGACGGUGUAGCGGUGAAAUGCUUAGAUAUCGUCAAGAACACCGAUAGCGAAGGCAGCUUACUAGACUGUAACUGACGCUGAUGCACGAAAAGUGUGGGGAUCAAACAGG
rnacentral:rRNA from 1 species